CAACAACAACAACAACAAAUAUGGCGGAAUCUGUAUUGUCAAACACGGAAGAAGAAGGAUACAACCAUAAUUAAACCAAGAAGUUUAUGAAGAAGGGAUCACUGGAUUUUGUCACUUUGGUACAAGAAACAGAAAAGGAUAUCAUAGACCACCUUACUUAUACGGAAGCAUAGGAGCUGUUGAAGGAAAUUGCUGCCAGACAGUCAGCAGUUAU